GACGAACGCUGGCGGCGUGCUUAACACAUGCAAGUCGAACGGAAAGGCCCUGCUUUUGUGGGGUGCUCGAGUGGCGAACGGGUGAGUAACACGUGAGUAACCUGCCCUUGACUUUGGGAUAACUUCAGGAAACUGGGGCUAAUACCGGAUAGGAGCUCCUGCUGCAUGGUGGGGGUUGGAAAGUUUCGGCGGUUGGGGAUGGACUCGCGGCUUAUCAGCUUGUUGGUGGGGUAGUGGCUUACCAAGGCUUUGACGGGUAGCCGGCCUGAGAGGGUGACCGGCCACAUUGGGACUGAGAUACGGCCCAGACUCCUACGGGAGGCAGCAGUGGGGAAUAUUGCACAAUGGGCGGAAGCCUGAUGCAGCAACGCCGCGUGCGGGAUGACGGCCUUCGGGUUGUAAACCGCUUUCGCCUGUGACGAAGCGUGAGUGACGGUAAUGGGUAAAGAAGCACCGGCUAACUACGUGCCAGCAGCCGCGGUGAUACGUAGGGUGCGAGCGUUGUCCGGAUUUAUUGGGCGUAAAGGGCUCGUAGGUGGUUGAUCGCGUCGGAAGUGUAAUCUUGGGGCUUAACCCUGAGCGUGCUUUCGAUACGGGUUGACUUGAGGAAGGUAGGGGAGAAUGGAAUUCCUGGUGGAGCGGUGGAAUGCGCAGAUGUCAGGAGGAACACCAGUGGCGAAGGCGGUUCUCUGGGCCUUUCCUGACGCUGAGGAGCGAAAGCGUGGGGAGCGAACAGGCUUAGAUACCCUGGUAGUCCACGCUGUAAACGGUGGGUACUAGGUGUGGGGUCCAUUCCACGGGUUCCGUGCCGUAGCUAACGCUUUAAGUACCCCGCCUGGGGAGUACGGCCGCAAGGCUAAAACUCAAAGGAAUUGACGGGGCCCCGCACAAGCGGCGGAGCAUGCGGAUUAAUUCGAUGCAACGCGUAGAACCUUACCUGGGUUUGACAUGGAUCGGGAGCGCUCAGAGAUGGGUGUGCCUCUUUUGGGGUCGGUUCACAGGUGGUGCAUGGCUGUCGUCAGCUCGUGUCGUGAGAUGUUGGGUUAAGUCCCGCAACGAGCGCAACCCUUGUUCACUGUUGCCAGCACGUUAUGGUGGGGACUCAGUGGAGACCGCCGGGGUCAACUCGGAGGAAGGUGGGGAUGACGUCAAGUCAUCAUGCCCCUUAUGUCCAGGGCUUCACGCAUGCUACAAUGGCUGGUACAGAGAGUGGCGAGCCUGUGAGGGUGAGCGAAUCUCGGAAAGCCGGUCUCAGUUCGGAUUGGGGUCUGCAACUCGACCUCAUGAAGUCGGAGUCGCUAGUAAUCGCAGAUCAGCAACGCUGCGGUGAAUACGUUCCCGGG
rnacentral:rRNA from 1 species